rnacentral:tRNA from 1 species
GCCUCGGUAGCGUAGUGGUCAAGACGCUCGCCUGGUAAACAGGAGGGCGUGGGUUCGAGCCCAGCCGAGGCA